rnacentral:rRNA from 1 species
CAGUCGCCGCGGGAAUACAGAGGGUGCAAGCGUUAAUCGGAAUUACUGGGCGUAAAGCGCGCGUAGGUGGUUUGUUAAGUCGGAUGUGAAAUCCCCGGGCUCAACCUGGGAACUGCAUCCGAAACUGGCAAGCUAGAGUAUGGUAGAGGGUAGUGGAAUUUCCUGUGUAGCGGUGAAAUGCGUAGAUAUAGGAAGGAACACCAGUGGCGAAGGCGACUACCUGGACUGAUACUGACACUGAGGUGCGAAAGCGUGGGGAGCAAACAGGAUUAGAUACCCGAGUAGUCCCUGUCUCUUAUAC